AUAAGUUAUAAAAAUAAUUCGUGCUACACUGGACAAUCACCAAUAAAUGAUAUCCCAAUUACAUGGAAUCGGUGUAUCGAUAGCGCGUUAUUGCCGUGCUCUCUUUUAAAUUUUCUUUCCCUUUUAAUAUCAUUUAGGGAUAAUUAGAGAAAUGCAAAAGAAUCCUUUAAAGUUACUAUCUUUUCUUUAUUAAAAAGGCAUUUGGCCUAAAAGUCUCUCUUUUUAAGCGGAAUAUAAUCAAAAUCAAUAGUGCGUAUACCACUGUAAAAUGUGGACCAACGCUUGUUAGCGAAAAUCGACAUAAUCUUGUUUAAUCGAUUACAAUAAUCGCAUAGUCAAGAGUCGACCUUAUAAACACCUAUUCAUCAAAACUGUUCAUUCCAAAAUUGUUCAUCAAACUGGCAAAGACGUGUUCUCGUUAAACGAAGCUUUUUCGCGACGUACCCCAUAUUUUUCACCUCACUCGAAUUAAAUAAAGAAAAAGUGUAUAGAAAUUGUUAAAAAUUCAAAGUAAAAGUGAUUUUUGGAUAAAGAAACAACAGCGAAGCAACGUCAAUGCAAAAUCGAAUAAAUUAUAUAAGGAAAAUCAUGAUAAAAUAUGCUGUAACAGAAUAAUAGUUACACAAUUGGUUUGGAGCACAACAAAGAGAAGUGAAUCUGUCAAAAAUAGAGAAAAAACUGCAACGAAUUUUUAUUUGGAGCAAAAACGUGAUACAUUUGUCUGUGGAAAUUUCAUCAUCUGAAUAUUUUGCAAGCCAGCCGCAACUACAGCCAGCCAGUGUUUGAGUGUAGAGACAACGAAUCAGCUGAAUUCAAAUAAAUAGAAAAAAGUGACUAAUCAAGAAAUUCCCACAAGAAGAUGUGCUUCAAUAGCUUCCAAACAAAUAUAGAUUUAGUUAGAAACAAUAAAGGAAGCAGUUGUAGGACUAUUGAAUCUAACAAAUUCAGUCACGCUCUACUUGUCCAAUUGAGUCUACUAAAUACAACAACAAAAAGGGACAAUCUUUGAUUUGCACAGACAACAAAAAAUCGCAAAAAGAAUACCAAAGAUAUAAUUUAAUUUAGAGAAAACAAAGAAAAACAAAAGUUACAACAACUUAGAUCAAAUAAAUCCAAUGACCCCAUCCUAAAAAUCAACAAAAAUAUAUCUCCACACACACGCAUACUACUACUAGAACAAAGACGAAAAGCAGAGUUGAGUGAUUAAAGUUUAAAGCAAAAUUUAGCACAAUUGAUUUCUAUCCAAAAUUAUAAAAAAAACGUGAUACAGUUUUUUCCAUUUGCCAAUCCACAAACGAAGCACAAGAAGUGAGAAGAGUGCAAGCAGUAUACAAAGGCGCAGCACGGGCAGACAGGCAUAGUAACAAAAUAAUAAUAAAUACGAAGAGCAAAAAUACCACACAGCAACAACUUGCCCCCAGAACUGCAACAACAAAUCCAUACACAAGCACGAUUUAUCACAGUACAAAGAAGUAGAAGGAGAAGACAGACGAGACGUGUAUAGCUAAAGUCUAGAAGAGACUACAACGAAAAAAGAGAGAAGCAUAAUAAAAAAGCUAUAAACAGGCAGUGUUGCUAACACAAAAUUUUUUGGAAAAUUUCCUAAAAAAUAAUCUUCAAAAGUUCCUAAAUUUAUAUACAUAUACAUUUUUUAUAACAACAACGACUACGAAUAACAGAGUGGUACAAUUUAUAAUGUCUGCUGCCAUGAGUCCUGCAAAGCCAACUAAUGGUGCCGCCGCGGCUGCGACUGCCUCAUCAACAAAUGGCAAAUUCAAACUGGCAACACAUGUUAAAUACGAGCAUUUAGUAGCUGGAAUUUCGGGUGGCGUGACCUCAACGUUGAUAUUGCAUCCCUUGGAUUUGAUCAAAAUUCGUUUUGCAGAUAAGUUUCUUAACAUUUAUUAAGAGUUUAUGAAAACAGGUACAAGACAUGAAACUGGAAAAUAUUAUUAAAUAUUUUAUCCUUUAAGCGUCUUAAGUCACAGCCGAAAUUUGUGUGCGAAAAUCAAAGUAGGAACUUAAACUGCAGAAGAUUGUCUUAUCGUUAAAAUCACGGGAAUUGGGUAUAAUAGUUAUAUAUGUAAAACUAUGAGUAAAUAUGUAUUUUUUCAUUUAUUUUAUUAUAGAUUGUUAAAUAAUUUGAGAAGGCUCAGUUUAGGAACCAAUAGAUUCUAGAUACUAGAUCUUUAAUGUAGAAAACAUAUGCUAACAAAUAUGGGAUUGCAUUGAAAGUAACUGAACUUAAAGUAAAAUUAGUUGGAAAUAUAACUUGUAACUUAUGGGACUCAUCAAAAUUAAAUACAUGGUAUAUAGAAUAGAAUAUAUAGUGCUAGUUGGACUUGGAAGUUGAUGGGAAUCAAAAUUAUAUUCUAUAUGUGACCUCCGGUGAAUAUUUCACAAGCAUUAAUACUUAUUUUUGCUGAUCACCUUAAAAAAAUGGAGUUUCAAGAAUUUCAAUAUAUUUUGUAUACAGACUCAUUGUAAUUUCCAGUUUAAAAGACCUAAAGUCGCUUCAUCUAACAUAUAAUACAUGUCAAUGGGGUAUAAUUUUUCCAAUCAAAAAGUCUUUAUAGGAUCAUUUUGUUUAAUAUCAACGUCCUUGGCAGAUUUGCAAAGUGUGGCAAUCAAAUUUAGCCUACCCCAUAAGACUUGUACUAUAUCGUCAUGUUCUUCUAUAAUUUUUUAUUUUUAUUUUUGCUAGCAUGUGUGCAACCCACUUCGUUGUGUCGUCGUUGUUUUUAUUUGUUGUGACGCGACAAUUGCAUCACAACAAACAUCUGUACACUACAAUCGUCUGUGGGUAUUUUCCAUUGUUGAGGAUUGGAUUUUUCCUUUUGCUUAAAACUCAAUGGUUUAUUUCUUUCGCACAUAAGGCGAUACAAAUGAUGAGGUUCGUGGAAAGUGUACCAUGGAGAGGGUACACUUUUAUUUUUUUAGUUUCUAGCCUCAUACAAUUUCUUGAAUGUCGUCUGCAAGCGAUAAGAAAUUAAACGUCAUGGUGUGACUUAGCCACAAGUGGUUUUAAAAAUUUAGAUACUGUCUGUGCUGAGAAUAAUCUGUCAAAAAGUAUUUCCUCUUGAAUAUUUGUUACUAACUUGACAUAUUUAGUGAAGAUAACCUUUGAUUUAUUUCUAUUUUCCUAAAAGAAAAUAAUAUAAAUAUUUUGUUAUGGCAAUGUUGUUGUUAAAUCCCUUGGGGGUACAAGUUAUGACGCUUAGAACUGAUUAAAGAUUUUCUAUAUUUUUUAGAAUAUUGAUAACAGACAUGGGGUUAAUAAUGUCGUUUUAUAAAAUUCGUUUUCAUUAUAGAAUUAAGUUAUUAUUUUUUUAUAUUUACGUAAAGCUGGGAAAGGCCUAUUAUGGACUCGUGAAGUGCAUAACGUAAACAAUACUAAUUAGCUCGUUCGCCGAUUAAUGACAGAGAGUGAAUUUAAACUUUUCUAAUUAAUCUACUAGAAGUAUUGAAUCAAAUAUAUUUAUAGCAGAGUGGGAGAAGGAUUAAAAACGAAAAUAUUCUGAAUAAACCAACCUAUAGAUAAAAACAAGAAAUUAAAUAGAAUAAACAGGAUAAAAAUGGCAAAUAUAUAUUUUUAGUAUGUCCAUUGAUCUAAAUUACCGCUAAUAUCCUGACAGUUGAAGUUUAUCUCAAUAAUCAGAAACAAAAUAUGAUUAACUAGAUUUCUUCUAAAUCUACUUGGUUCCUAAUUUAACUUUGAAAACCUCGACAUUCCUAUAUACUGGUCUGGUUUCUUCAUAUCGAUUUGUUCUGAAACACGCUUUACUGUUUUCGUCAAUAUUUUAACAUCCGGAAGUAAAUUUACAACGGAAAUUUAUUGAAAUUUGUAAUAAACACUAAUCAAUUCAAAAUCAAAGUAUCUUUUAAAGAAGCCGCAUAGGUAUUUCCAAUAGGCAAUAUUAUGGGUAUUAUCAGGCAUGUCACAGAAUGUAAAAUCGUUCAAGAGUGAAAACGAAAACGGUUUUAGCUUCUCUAAAAAACGGAAAACGCAAAAAUUUUGCGUUUUGAUAUCACUUUCAAAAAGCAGGGUGAAAUUGAAAUGUUUAGUGAUUUUAACGUAAAAAAUAAACAGAAGACACAUACAUUUAACAGAAAAUAUUGUAUUAACCAAAUUCUCUUAGAAUGGACAUGUUUUUGGAAUUUAUUUUUCCAAAAAUCUAUUAUUUUUCUAAUCCAUGAUGAAAACGCAAAAAAAUAUGCAGAAAUGAACGGCAGACUUGUAUUGUUGAAUUAUUGCCAUAUGUGUUGAAGAAGAAGGUGUAGAAAUGUACAACUGACAGACCAAAAAGCAAGAAAGGGGAAAAACAAAAAAAAAAAACAAUUAAUUGUUUGGUUUGAGACAGAGCGCUUCAGUCAAAAAAGGAUUCGUCUUCGGAAGUUUUAACCAUUCUAACGUGAGUUCCGUCAAUGCAUCCUACAAUUCCUGGAAUUUCAUAAUUUUCAAAAAAGUACAAUUUCGACUUUCUUUUUUCUUCGGAAGACAUUCUUAAUUUGAUCCAAUGUGGACAAAUUUCAGCUUCAAUUGCAUUAAUAACUCUCCACAUAAUUGUAGAAACUGUACUUCUCCCAAGGCUUAGCACCAUAUCUCUACCUAUAACUCCUUGAAAUGCACCCGUAGCCAAAAACCUAAGCGUUGUUGCAAGCUGGAUAAUAGCCGGUAUAUUGGAACGUUUGAGGUGGGGAGAAAUUUUUUCCAAAACUAAAACAAAAGCUUCUUUAUUUAGCCGAUAAUAAGUUAUAAAUCUGUAGAAAUAAAUUAUUAUUAAAAUAAA